rnacentral:rRNA from 1 species
GAUGAACGCUGGCGGCGUGCCUAAUACAUGCAAGUCGAGCGAACGGACGAGAAGCUUGCUUCUCUGAUGUUAGCGGCGGACGGGUGAGUAACACGUGGAUAACCUACCUAUAAGACUGGGAUAACUUCGGGAAACCGGAGCUAAUACCGGAUAAUAUUUUGAACCGCAUGGUUCAAAAGUGAAAGACGGUCUUGCUGUCACUUAUAGAUGGAUCCGCGCUGCAUUAGCUAGUUGGUAAGGUAACGGCUUACCAAGGCAACAAUGCAUAGCCGACCUGAGAGGGUGAUCGGCCACACUGGAACUGAGACACGGUCCAGACUCCUACGGGAGGCAGCAGUAGGGAAUCUUCCGCAAUGGGCGAAAGCCUGACGGAGCAACGCCGCGUGAGUGAUGAAGGUCUUCGGAUCGUAAAACUCUGUUAUUAGGGAAGAACAUAUGUGUAAGUAACUGUGCACAUCUUGACGGUACCUAAUCAGAAAGCCACGGCUAACUACGUGCCAGCAGCCGCGGUAAUACGUAGGUGGCAAGCGUUAUCCGGAAUUAUUGGGCGUAAAGCGCGCGUAGGCGGUUUUUUAAGUCUGAUGUGAAAGCCCACGGCUCAACCGUGGAGGGUCAUUGGAAACUGGAAAACUUGAGUGCAGAAGAGGAAAGUGGAAUCCCAUGUGUAGCGGUGAAAUGCGCAGAGAUAUGGAGGAACACCAGUGGCGAAGGCGACUUUCUGGUCCGUAACUGACGCUGAUGUGCGAAAGCGUGGGGAUCAAACAGGAUUAGAUACCCUGGUAGUCCACGCCGUAAACGAUGAGUGCUAAGUGUUAGGGGGUUUCCGCCCCUUAGUGCUGCAGCUAACGCAUUAAGCACUCCGCCUGGGGAGUACGACCGCAAGGUUGAAACUCAAAGGAAUUGACGGGGACCCGCACAAGCGGUGGAGCAUGUGGUUUAAUUCGAAGCAACGCGAAGAACCUUACCAAAUCUUGACAUCCUUUGACAACUCUAGAGAUAGAGCUUUCCCCUUCGGGGGACAAAGUGACAGGUGGUGCAUGGUUGUCGUCAGCUCGUGUCGUGAGAUGUUGGGUUAAGUCCCGCAACGAGCGCAACCCUUAAGCUUAGUUGCCAUCAUUAAGUUGGGCACUCUAAGUUGACUGCCGGUGACAAACCGGAGGAAGGUGGGGAUGACGUCAAAUCAUCAUGCCCCUUAUGAUUUGGGCUACACACGUGCUACAAUGGACAAUACAAAGGGCAGCGAAACCGUGAGGUCAAGCAAAUCCCAUAAAGUUGUUCUCAGUUCGGAUUGUAGUCUGCAACUCGACUACAUGAAGCUGGAAUCGCUAGUAAUCGUAGAUCAGCAUGCUACGGUGAAUACGUUCCCGGGUCU